rnacentral:lncRNA from 1 species
UAUAUAUAGAACUAGGCUAAUAUACUAUUAAUAGCAGCAAGUCAUUAGUAGUACAAAGUUUUUGGCCAUUGGAUUAAGAGAUGUGCGGUUAGAAUGAUGUGGGCCCCCUAGAGUUGAGUGGGUGGUUGGUUGAAUAGUAUGAUCUAACGGGUGAAAGUGAUCAAAAGGAUAGUUCUAACGGCGGAAAACUUGGUAGCACCAAGUGUUUUGUGCUAUUAAUAGUAUAGUAGCCGGACUAUAUAUGAGUCCGGCUACUAUACUAUCGGUAGCACGAGGCCUCCCGUGCUAUCAAGUUGUUUUCGAUGAUGCAGCUUCCAAAUCAACGAUCGGCUCCGUUAGACUUGAUCUACACGAUUAAAGAUAUUUGAAACUAAAUUUCAUAAUUUUUUGAUAUCAUUUACCUAUCAAACAAAUAGUCUAAAAUUGAAUGGCUGAAAAUAAAAAUCUCAUAGAAAAUGAUGAUAAAAGAUUUAAAUUCAAGAUCAGAUAUACUCAUCUUACUCUAAAUAGUGAAAAGAAUUUUCUAUAAAAUUUUCAUCAGAUUUGGAUUGUUUUACACCGUUAAACUCAUAAACACGCCACAUCGGCCAUUAAAAUUGUCAAUUUUGAGAUCUUUUGAUCACUAGUCAAUUGAUGUCGAAAAAAUCUGAAAUUUAGUUUCCAAAUACUUUUAAUAGUGUAGAUCAAGUUUAACGGAGCCGAUCGACAAUUCGAAAGUCGCAACAUUGAAAACGAACUGGAAGCACGGAAGGCUCCGUGCUUCAUAGCAUAGUAGCCUCACUCUCUCUCUCUCUCUCUCUCUCUCUCUCUCUCUCUCUAUAUAUAUAUAUAUACACACACUAUCUACUAUCUGUAUACCUAUUAUACACAUUGAAGAUGAAUAUGAUCCUUUGAGUGGGUAUUACUCUCCAAUUUGGAAAGCAUUGCUCCUAUUUUAUUUUAUUUUAUUUAUAUUUUAUUUGGGGGCAACUACUUAUAUACAUUUUAAAAGUUUUUUAUUUUCUUAUUUAACCACAUAAAAGGCUAAUAUUAAAAAUAUUCUUUUAACAUUUCAAGUCAUUUCAAAUAUAUCUAUAAAAUUAAACUUUGUUAGCGAACUGUUAGAAACAAUCGUUAUCUUUGUAAAAUUAUUGUUUUGUCCUUUAAAAUAUAUGCUUCUACUAUCACCAGCUUUUCUUAUUUGCUUUUAAGUUAGGAACAAAACAAUUGUUUUGACUAUUUUCUUUUUCAAAUGUAUCUUUCUGCUGUCAUCAACUUUUUUCAUUUAUCCUUAAGUUAGAGUGAAAGAGAUAUUUUAUUUUUUUUAAGCUCUAGUAGAAAUUUAAUUUAAGUUUAAUCCGAGAUGACUUAAUAAAUACUAAUAGCAAUGCUAUUUUUGAGCAAUUGAAAAUAUACGAGGUACAUAUUUGAAACAAAAAAUUGGAUUAUAUUAGGUAAUUCAAAAGUUUUCGGAGGUAUAUUAGAUAUUAUGACUUUUUAUAAUUUUAUUUGUUUUUACUUUUAUUCUUUUUUAAAAAUUUAAAAAUAAAAUUAAAGUAAAAGAGAAUAAAGUAGAAUUAGGAUUUAUAAAUUUUUUUACUUAUUUUUUAAUAGGGUUAAUUGCAUACAGGUCCCCACAAAUAUAGUAAAUUACAAAUAUAUUCCUAUAAAGUUCAACUUUCAUAAGUUAUUCCUGCAAAAGUCUUAUAUUUUCAGAUAUAUCCCUCUGGUUUAUUACCGUUAGAGAACCGUUAAAAAACUGUUUAUAUUUUCAAUUUUGUCAUCACAAAUAUAUCCCUCCAAAAGUCAUAACAGAUUAACAGUAUAAUAUAAAAAAGAUAAAAAUGUUAAAAAUUAACUAGGGUAAAUCAUUUAAUCUAAAAUUAACUAAACUUUUCUAACAGAUUCUAAUGGUAAGAACAUAUCUGAAAAUAUUAAGACUUUUACAGAAAUAACGUAUGAAAGUUGAACUUUACAGAUAUAUAUUUGUAAUUUACUAUAUUUUCGGAGAUACGUACGCAAUUAAUCCUUUUUUUUAGUAAA